rnacentral:rRNA from 1 species
CAGCCGCCACGGUAAUACGAAGGGUGCAAGCGUUACUCGGAAUUACUGGGCGUAAAGCGUGCGUAGGUGGUGGUUUAAGUCCGUUGUGAAAGCCCUGGGCUCAACCUGGGAAUUGCAGUGGAUACUGGGUCACUAGAGUGUGGUAGAGGAUGGUGGAAUUCCCGGUGUAGCGGUGAAAUGCGUAGAGAUCGGGAGGAACAUCAGUGGCGAAGGCGGCCAUCUGGGACAACACUGACGCUGAGGCACGAAAGCGUGGGGAGCAAACAGGAUUAGAUACCCCUGUAGUCCCUGUCUCUUAUAC